GCUACAGUGAGUGAGUUGAACUUCAAGACAAUAGUUGAUGGCCUAGGUGUUGUUCUCUAUCAGUACCCAUUCAAUGUACCAGCAUACUAUGCAUUGAUACUGCGAUCGCUCACCAUACUAGAAGAUUUAGCACUCUAUGCUGACCCUGAUUUUAAGGUGCUUGCUGCAUCAUAUCCUUACUUUGCGAAAAGGCUACUGACUGAUCCCAACCCAUAUCUCAGAGAUGCUUUAAUUGAGCUU